CACAGGUAGACGAGGAGAAUAUCCAAAGGCGCUCGAGUGAAGGCUUGUUAAGGAACUCGGCAGAUUAGACCCGUAACUUCGGGAGAAGGGUCGCCACGUUAGGGUUAAUAGCCCGAGGUGGCCGCAGUGAAACGCGUACGGCGACUGUUUAACAAAAACACAGGUCUCUGCAAAGUCAAAAACGACGUAUAGGGGCUGACUCCUGCCCGGUGCUGGAAGGUUAAAAGGAGCGGUUAGGCGCAAGCCGAAGCUGUGAAUUGAAGCCCCAGUGAACGGCGGCCGUAACUAUAACGGUCCUAAGGUAGCGAAAUUCCUUGUCGGGUAAGUUCCGACCUGCACGAAUGGAGUAACGAUCGUACGACUGUCUUAACGAGUUGCUCGGCGAACUUGUAGUACCGGUGAAGAUGCCGGUUACCCGCAGCUAGACGAAAAGACCCCGUGCACCUUUACUAUACUUUUACUGUGGGUUACGGCAAUUGCUGCGCAGGAUAGGUGGGAGGCUUUGAUACCGGGAUUUCGGUUUCGGUGGAGCCAACGGUGAGAUACCACCCUGCGAUUGUUGUGACUCUAACCUCCUUCCCUUAUCGGGAAGAGGGACAUAGUAAGACGGGUAGUUUGACUGGGGCGGUCGCCUCCUAAAUUGUAACGGAGGCGCGCGAAGCUACACUCAGGCUGUUUGGAAAUCAGCCGUCGAGUGCAAAAGCAUAAGUGUGGUUAACUGCGAGACCUACAAGUCGAGCAGAUGCGAAAGCAGGCUUUAGUGAUCCGGUGGUUCUGUAUGGAAGGGCCAUCGCUCAACGGAUAAAAGGUACGCCGGGGAUAACAGGCUGAUCAUUGCCAAGAGUUCAUAUCGACGCAAUGGUUUGGCACCUCGAUGUCGGCUCAUCGCAUCCUGGAGCUGUAGAAGGUUCCAAGGGUUAGGCUGUUCGCCUAUUAAAGCGGUACGUGAGCUGGGUUCAGAACGUCGCGAGACAGUUCGGUCUCUAUCUGCUGUGGGCGUAGGAGAUUUGAAGGGGGCUGUCCUUAGUACGAGAGGACCGGGAUGGACGAACCUCUUGUGUUCCAGUUGUCUUGCCAAAGGCACGGCUGGGUAGCGAAGUUCGGUUAUGAUAACCGCUGAAUGCAUAUAAGCGGGAAGCAUGCCCUAAGAUGAGAUCUCCCAACCCAAAAGGGAAAUGAAGGGCCCUAGAAGACCACUAGGUUGAUAGGCUGGAUGUGGAAGCGCAGUAAUGCGUGUAGCUUACCAGUACUAAUCGCCCGUUCGGCUUGACC
rnacentral:rRNA from 1 species